rnacentral:tRNA from 2 species
GGAAGUGUGGCCGAGUGGUUGAAGGCAGCGGUCUUGAAAACCGCCGAUGGGAAACUGUCCGUGAGUUCGAAUCUCACCGCUUCCGCCA